rnacentral:lncRNA from 1 species
CAUUUCAUCUGGAGACGAAAGACGAACCAUAUCCGUGUCUACCAUAUUGUGUCAAUUGUUGUGAAUUUCAUUAUUGGUAAGUCUUAAAACCAAUUAUACGCAGAUGUCACUAUAUCCUAACUAUAUUGAUAUGUUUAUCAAAUUCGAAGUAUAUCUAAAUGAUCUAGGAAUAUUAUAACUAUUGCACACAUGUAUAAUGACGGUUGUGUACAUCAUCAACAAUUAAGGGAUACGGAUAUAUAUACAAAUUCUUCUUGUGUGCAAAUCCCUGUUUUCUAUUGUAUUAUUGUAAUUUGUGCACUGUUGAAAUAUAAAAUUGUUAAAACUAACGAUAAUCAGUAAAGUAUACUAUAAUGCAUGUUAUUUCAAAGUUGCGUUGUGAAAACAGUCCCAUAAUGUUACCUAAUUCUCUAGCAGACAGCAACAAUGUUGAUGACGAACCAAGCGUUCGAAUGGGAUAUCACCAAUCCAUUAUAGUUGUAUUCAAGUACGAAUUCCCUUUUCCUUCGAGUUUAAUAAACAUAUAGACAGUACUUUUUUGGUAACAUAUAACAUUAGUUUACAUGUAUCUAUAUUGUAGGUUCUGCUUUAAUUGUAUGCUUUUUGACGUUUGGUGUCGCAAUACAAACCUUGGAUGAGCUGAAAAUUGAUUACAUAUCGGAAAUUGAGAUAAUACAAGACAUAAACAGAUAUUUUUUUAUUUCUUUCUUGAUGGUUUCUGUUGCAACAUUAUUGCACUUUUGUAAUAGAAUACUAACGAUUAUCAGUUUAUACAGUUGCAAUGCUAUCAACACACAAUGCGCAUCUGGAAGACUCUCAAUAGUGACAACUGGAAGUGGUUGGGCGGAACCUUGGGGAUAGCUUCUGAUAAAUAAUUAUCGGUUGAUAAUAAAUAACUUAUUACAAUUAAACCAACCUUGACAAAUUAUUAGUAUAUUUUUUAGACUGUGUUUGAUAACUGAUUCAUUACAGUAUGAUAUUUGUUUUUAUUCACACAUUAUUAACUGUCCUUUUUAGUCAUUUUUUAUAAAUGAUACAAAAAAAUCAUAGUUAUGAGCCAUUUUCAGACAUCUUUAGUUUGGCUGCAAAUGUUUAGAUAUAGACAUAAAGUUGUUAACAUCUACAAACGUGAUGCUUUGUUAUGGUGUAUAUUGGCAAUGCGCAGAAACUAUUAAAAGAUGAUUUAAAAAAGGAUCUCUGAAUGGGAUUUACAGACUGACAAAAUAAAGGGAAAACUCAGAAACAAUGGACCAAAAUCAAUAAUAAAAAAUAAUGGAGUGCCUCAAUAUAAUGAAAAAAAACCCAAGAAAUAAUAAUGGGGUGUUUUGAUUCAACGAAUAUAGAAUAACGGUCAAAUAGACGAGGAAUAGAAAGACAGAAAGAACCUAUAUAGACCCUCCUGUAGCGCGAAGUGAUUCCAAAAUAAGCUUCUGUUCUUUGCUUUUUGCAGUUUCAUUUUGUGUUUGAUAUAUUUGUUUUUACGCCAGAUAGUUUUUUCUCCUCAAUCGCAGUUUCUUUUCUAAACAGUUCUUGACAGCAAAAUGAUCUGUUUAUAUAUGUCCUUUCCAAAAUAUAGUACCUGGACACCGGUCAUUUGAUAAUAAAACAAGUAAGAUAUCGCUCGAAAAAAGCAAUCAAAUCAACAAUAAAAAACCAACCAAAAAUCAAAACAAAAGAAAUAUAAAAAAGGUUUCAAAAAGCACACAAAAAAGAAAACCCCUCACAAUAAUGAUGAUUUAUUGGAUAACAGCAUCUCUUAUGAAAAUUAAUUUCCCGAUGAUAUUGGAAAAACACAUUUAAACAAUAGUACGAGGUACUCAUAAAACCAAAGUAAUAGAGGAAACUAAUCGGAAAUAUGAGACUUCAAUCUACUCAACGCCACACAAUAAACACUUUCAUCGGCAAAUUAUACAUACAUUUAAUUAUAAUGUUCUUCACAUGUUAAAAAUGUAAAAAUCAAAAUGUCAUUCUCAAACAAAAUGAACCGGAAUGUAUUCAGAGCAAAUACAAUUAUUUUUGUUUUGACAAUUAUAUUUUCUUUCUAAAAAGUAAAAUCACAAAAAUACUGAACUUAGAGGAAGAUCAAUUGGGAAAGUCCAUAAUCACAUGGCAAAAUCAAAUAACAAAAAGUUUUCCUAGGAUUUUCAACGUAUACCUAGUUUAUAUGUAGUUUACCUGAUGAAGGUAAAUCCAGAACAGCGUUUCGGACGCAAUAAAUUAUUUAACGUGUUGUUUUCCAUUUUUUAUAAUCAAAGGAAAAAGAAAUGAAAUACUUGUUAUGAUAUCAAACAGGGCCAACAAUAUUAAAAUUAUGUACAUACAUGUAUAUUCUUAGUUAUACUUUUAUAUAAUUUGUAUCAAUCAUUGUUUGGGUUUCUUGUAUAAAUAAGUUAUUAUACGAUAUUUAGUUUAUUUCCAGAGGAAGUCCACGCUAUGUUCUUAUUUUUUUCAUUAUAAAAGAGGGACGAAAGAUACCAAAGGGACAGUCAAACUCAUAAAUCGAAAACAAACUGACACCGCCAUGGCUAAAAAUGAAAAAGACAAACAGAAAAACAAUAGUACUCAUGACACAACAUAGAAAACUAAAGAAUAAACAACACGAACCCCACCAAAAACUAGGGGUGAUCUCAGGUGCCCUGGAAGGGUACCAUUCUUGAAUUGGCGAAUUUUUAACUAAAUAAGAUGAUGAAGUUUGUUUGAAUAAAGUAUUCUACAUUUGAGAUUUAUUACACAGUUUUUUUUCGAACGAAGUUACGAAUAUAUGCCAACCCAGACACAUUCUUAUAAUUCCGAGCUUUGUUCCAAGCUGUCGGACCCGAAAUAUUCUUACUCUUUUGUGUUCAUUAUAAAUAUUUUUGAAUUAAGGAAUAAUGAAUAAACUGGAAAAGAUAUUGCUGUAUGUUUGUAUAUAGUAAAUAAAAGUAAGAUUCAACAUUGAACAGUUGUUAAACGUUAAUAGUAAGAAAGAUAUACCAACGCAGACACAUUAUUUGAAAUCCGAGCCGAACAGCCUUUUGUUUUGCUCCAAAAUGCGAGUAUUUCACUUUUAUAAUUAAAUUUUUGAGUUGACUUAUAACGUCAUACACUCAAAGAAGUACUAGCGAUGCCGUGAAACAAAUAUUUUGUUUAUUUUCAAAGAUAUGUUAAAGUCCAACUAAAGAUGAAGGAAUAAAUAAACUGUUGUUGUUUUAAACAUUGAAUUCAAAAAUCAUGAUGUUAUAUGAUUGACAAUGAGACAACUAUCUACCAAAGUUAAAAAAAAAAGUGGAUGUAAGCAAUUAGAGGCAACCGUACAGCCUUCGACGAUGAGAAAAAUCCAUACCGUACCCCACAUGAAAAAUAUAAAACACUUCAAUUGAAAAACCUAUGUUCUAAUUUAAAACAAAUACGCUUCACAUCCAUUGUUCGGUUUAUUUUGUUAAAUACGAGCAAAAAAAAACCCCCCAAAAAACAACAAAAAUAUAAGGCAUCAAUAUGCUUAUGCGGGGUUUUCAAAAUGUUUGAUGGAUUUGUAGGAAUAAUUUUCAACAGGUUUUUCAGCAUUCAUAAUGGAACUAGUUGUUCCUGGUAGAUUUUUUUCUGAUAUUGUAAUUAUUAUGUUUAUUUAUUAUGGCCUAAUUUGUGUUGUAUGGCCUGAUAGUUGUUUACCAAAUAAUCUUAUAACUGUGCAGUUUGUGAAUCACUGGAACAAUCACAGAAUGAUUGGAACUUUCUAGAAUGAUCCUUAUAAAAGAUGCGUAAUUUAAACUUCUACGUUAUUCCAGAAACUUCCGUUGUAACUUUCCAGGAUUUUCCACAAUGUUCCAUUAUAGAGUGUUCUAGAAUUUUCCAUGACAACACUAUAUAUACAGACACUAAAGUUAAACUCUCAUAAUUAAACUUGGACAUAGACAUUGAUAGACAUUAGUAUUCACAGCAUUUGGAUUGACACUUUUAUUCUACAAACAACAUCAUACUGGAUUGUGACAUUAGUAGUGAACGUAAUAUUCAAAUUGGAUUCCGAAAGAUUUCCGGAUACAGAUAAAGAUAACAGAUUGGACUCAUAUUUUGACAGUUAAGUUAACAGUAAUAUUUGUGUAAUACCUUUUGUAAACUUUUGUAUAUUAAAUAUUGUUAAAUUUUACUAUUGAUUUGUGUCUUUUGUUGGCUACAAUUUAAAGGCGAUUUCUGGCCGUAACAGAAAUUGGGGGCUCGUCCGGGAUCUUAAAAAUAUUUUAUUCAAAAUUUGUUUAAUAUUUUUAUUAUAACUAGCCAACAAAAUUUGAAUAUUACGUUCGUCACAAUCCAGUAUGAUGUUGUUUGUAGAAUAAAAGUGUCAAUCCAAAUGCUGUGAAUACUAAUGUCUAUCAAUGUCUAUGUCCAAGUUUAAUUAUGAGAGUUUAACUUUAGUGUCUGUAUAUAUAGUGUUGUCAUGGAAAAUUCUAGAACACUCUAUAAUGGAACAUUGUGGAAAAUCCUGGAAAGUUACAACGGAAGUUUCUGGAAUAACGUAGAAGUUUAAAUUACGCAUCUUUUAUAAGGAUCAUUCUAGAAAGUUCCAAUCAUUCUGUGAUUGUUCCAGUGAUUCCUAAACUGCACAGUUAUAAGAUUAUUUGGUAAACAACUAUCAGGCCAUACAACACAAAUUAGGCCAACAUAAAUAAACAUAAUAAUUACAAUAUCAUAACAUUAUACGAAGAUCAAAUAAGCUGGGUCAUUCGAUUUCCCAUAAAUAUAUAUGUGAUGUUCUUUCCAUUUAUCUAUUCUGUAAAUCCCAAACAGACACUCUUGCAACGCAUUUCCAAAACAAUUACCCACAAAAAUUAUCUAAAUAUUGUUUUAUACUCGCCCAUGGUUUCUCACUUACAAAUGGAUCCUCAGGAAUUAAUUCACAAUGUUUUCUUUCGUUGUAAUGGCACAAUACACUACACAUUAAUGGAUUUAUGAUAUAAUUCGGUGUUUUUAUAUAUAUUUGUAUCCCGCCGCCCAACAAAACCCCAACCAAACAAACAAAACGAACCAAAACAUACUCCAUCGAAAAACACCAUCUAAUAACCUAAAGAUUGAGCAACGCGCACCUUAUCAUAUAGAUAGGUGCCCCAGCAGGAUACCCACAUAUUGUUCCAGUCAUCGUUUUGCUCAUGUAGGUAUACAUUUGGUGGUACGUGUCAUUCGGUAGGUAACACUAAAUAGGUGUACUAAAACUUCAAAUUGUAUGAACAGAUAAUGUUAUACUUUUUGUUGUAAUUUUAGUUUAUAGUUUGUCUUUUUUUCGGUCUUUGUUUCACUGUAUGGCAUUGUGAUUUAGGUUUUACCAUAUGAGUUUGAAUAUCCCUAUGGUAUAUUCCACCUUUCUUUUAAACUAUAAAUACGUCAAUGCAAAAACAGUAUGAGAACCCUUUCAAUUUCUUAAAGCCUAUUCAAUGGUAAGGCUUAUAGAUGACAACAUGCCCUGUUCCAUAUUGGCCCUGAUAUCACAUGAGACACGCAUAUGAGCACGAAACUUUAGCCGAGGGCCGAUAUAGGUCGAGGGAUGAUACUAGGGCCAAUAUUAAAAAGACAUGUUAUAAUCUUUUUAUGACAUAUUCAAGUUCUACAGAAAAGUGAAACACGUUCAAUUAUAACUAUGUAACUGACCUCAACAGGUAAAAUCUAAAACAUUUAUCACAUUUUCCAUUAUAUUUUGUUUUUUUAUUUUAUUCAUACAAAUUUAUCUUUAAAUUUCCCAACAUUUUUAUGAAUAUGGUAAUACACAAAAGCGAUAACUUUACAUAAUUAGUUAUCAAAGGUACCAGGAUUAUAAUUUAAUACGCCAGACGCGCGUUUCGUCUACAUAAGACUCAUCAGUAACGCUCAGAUCAAAAUAGUUAUAAAGCCAAACAAGUACAAAUGAAGAGCAAUAAUGACCCUAAAUUCCAAAAAUUCCAUAACUGGGGCUAAAUCGAUAAUAGUUGGUUGCAAAUUUUUACUAAUGUCCAUUGUAGCAGCAUUCUAACAAUUUUCUAUACAAACACCAUCAUUGUUCGCCAUGCCGUAAAUCACGCAACGACGUCAUGUCAUUUGGAAUCGUUGCACAAUAACCAAUAACUAAUUUCUGGCCUCAGGCAGCAAUAUGAGUAGGACAUUUUUGCAUAUGCAAAAUCCAUUUUUGUCGUACAAAAUGUGAUAAUAUCAGAUUAUUACAUGGCAUUUUUCAUAUUGCGUGUAUUAUCAGCCCUAGGUUCAAUAUCAUGGCUCGAGGGCUGAUAUUGACCGAGGGCAUAUGUUAUUUAGUCUUAGUAUAUGAUAAUAAAAUUUAUUAUAUAAUUAGACUAAAUAACAUAUGAUUUUUACUGUAUGAUAAUAACAUUAAAUUAACGUAAAUCCCAUAUUUUUCGAAAUGGUGCUUAGCGGACUGAUAUGAAAAGUUUAUCACAUGCUUCGAUUGUUUUUACAUGCCUUUCCGUAACGUUAUCACAUGGCAUUCCGGUGAAUACUCGGCAAAUUCCGGAAAAUACACCUCAAUGCUACGUUUCCAGUGUAAAACAUUACAAAGAAGUGUACAGAACAAUUAUUUGGAUACUGGAAAGUAUAUUGUGAAAGAAAAUAAAAAAUAUUAUUUUUUUUUUAAUUAAAUAAACGCAUUUUUUGAAAGUUUCAAACAUAAUUUUAAAAGUUUCUUUAAAAAAAGUUGACUUUUCCAAACAGUGUUCAUAAUGAAUAUUGUUGAAUUAUUUUUUUUUGUCGAUUCGUCCAUAUCAAAAUAUGUUCUUCCCUGUUGAGGCUUAUGAUACUUCGAAAAGAUUUCAUAUCGUGUGUACCAAAUCUGAGGUCCGACGUCAGUGAACUUUUCAGUCUUUGAACUUCUGUUUUGGAACCACGUAAAAGGGCAAUUUUAAUGAAUCUGUUAUUUUUCUCCAUUGUUGAAGCAUAUGAUGAAAAGAUCAUAAAAUGUCAAUUUUCAUAUCUCAUGCAUUAUCAGCCCUCGGUCAAUAUCAGCCUUCGAUCCAUGCGGCUCUUGGGUUGAAAUUGAACCUAGGGCUGAUAAUACAUGCGAUAUGAAAAAUGCCAUGUAAUAAUCUGAUAAUAUUCCAUGAAAAAAAAACAAAUAAUCGCUCAUAGAUAUAUUAUAAUUUUAUGUAAAAAAAUAGACCCAUAAAUAUUCAAAUGAUAAUAAGGAAAUAAGAAAUGUUAAAAAUAAAAACGAAGAGAGAGAUCAUAUAAGAAAUUUUCUCUUAUGGUUAAUAUAAAAAAGAAGAUGUGGUAUUCUGCCAAUGAGACAACUCUCCACAAGAGACAAAAAUAACACUGAAUUAACUACUAUAGGUAACCGUUCGGCCUUCAACAAUGAGCAAAACCCAUACCGCAUAGUCAGAUAUAUAAGGGCCCGAAAUGAAAAUGUAAAACAAUUCAAACGAGGAAACUAACGGCCUUAUUUAUAUAUAAAAAAAAAAUGAACGACAAGCAAAUAUGUAACACAUAAGCAAACGACAACCACUGAGUUACAGGCUCCUGAGUCCUGUUGUCUAUUUCUUGCAUGAAUAGAUAUUUCUCGUAUCACACUAUACGGAGUGUGAUACGAAAAAGUGACACCUAACAUCACAAAACGAUAUUAUGGAAUUUCCAUUGGUUAUCCGAUAGGUCACUGAUAACCGCACAAAGGUUAGGACGAUGGACAUUUCGUCUGUGGAAACGUACAUAUGUAGGUUUUCAAUAAUAUGCAAAACACGCAGACUUUUCAUCUAAAAAUCUCCCUUUUGUCAACUUUUAUUACAUUCAAGCGUAUAGAAAAUUUUAAAAUGUCUGACGUUAAAGUUAAACAGCGGAAAAGGACAUAAGACGUCAUACUGGAAUGUGCAAAAGUUGACCAUAAGAUAAAUAGGUUUAAAAACUUAUUAUUUAAGUUCGCCGAAGUGUCGUUUAUUAUUAUAUUGAAUUUAGAUAACCCGAGUUGAUAUUCAGUGAUAUCAUAUACUUAGACUAAAUAACAUAUGCUUUUUACUGUAUGAUAAUAUCAUUAAAUUAACGUAAAUUCCAUAUUUUUCGAAUUGGUGCUAAGCGGGCUGAUAUGAAAAGUCUAUCACAUGCUUCGAUUGUUUUCACAUGCCUUUCCGUAACGUUAUCGCAUGGCAUUCCAGUUAUACUCGGCAAAUUCCGGAAAAUACACAUCAAUGCUAGUGUUUUCAGUGAAUAAACUUUAAAAGUAGUGUACAAAACUAUUAUUUGGAUAUUGUAAAGUAUAUUGUGUAAAAUAAUAACAAUAAAAAAAAACCCCAAACAAACAAACAAACAGUCAAAUUAUUAAAUAAAUGCAUUUUAAAAAGUUGAAACGUAAUUUAGAAAGUUACUUUAAAAGAGUUGACUUUUCCAAACAGUGUUCAUUAUGUAUAUUUUUGUCGAUCGUCCAUAUUAAAAUAUUUUUCUUUUCUGUUCAGGCAUAUGAUAGAAAGAUUUCAUAUCGAAUGUACUAGUUGUUGGGUUCGACGUCCAUGAACUUUUAACUCUUUAAACUUCUAUUUGGGAACUCCGUAAAAGGAUCAAUAUAUGAAUCUAUUAUUUUUCCCCAUUGUUGAAGCAUAUGAUAAAACAUCAUAACAUGUCAUUUUUCGUAUCAUCCCUCUGGCCAUGUGGCUCUUGGGCUGAUAUUGAACCUUGGGCUGAAAAUACAUGCGAUAUGCUAAAUGCCAUGUAAUAAUCUGAUAACAUCCCAUACUCACUUGUUAUGAAACUUAUAAAAAAAUGCUCAUAAUUCUCUAGCCUGUUUACCCUGUUCAGAACAUUUGUCUUCAACUGUUUUCAUUUUGCGUUUGAUUCAUUUCUUGAUUUAUCCACAGUUCCUACAACUAAACUAAUGAGAGGUUUCGAAAAAGAGAGGUUAAUGAUACCAAGAGAACAUAAAGCUUAUAGUUUUAGCUACCAAGAAUACCAGGUUUGAUCUAUCAUUUUCUACAUACAGUUUUCCGUUCGUUUGAUGAAUUUGAGCAUUUUUAUUUUUUUCAUUUGAUAACGAGACCUCUUCGUUUUGAUUUUCCUUAGAGUGCGGUAUUUUUGUUAUUUUACUUUUUACAGGUUUGUGUGAUUUCCCCCCCCCCUUUUUUUUACUUCCGUUGAAGAUUUGCACAGCUUCGACAUCUUUAGAUACAUAUGUUUUGUAUAUAUGUCCCAUUGAAGAGAAUAAUAAUUGCACAACGGUAGUAUGGUAAUAUUAAAGAAUAAAAACUAGCAAACAGAAAGUAAAAUCACAAAAAUACUGAACGUCGAUGAAAAUUCAAAAAGGAAAGUGCCUAAUCAAAUGUUAAAUCAAAAGCUCAAACUCAUCAAACGAAUUGAUAACAAGACCCUUCAAAACACUGAGGUUUUAUUGGUUAACAGCAUUAGCAUCUCUUAUGCAAAUUUAUUUCCUGAUAAUUUUCGAAAAACACAGUUAAACAAUGAAACGGGGUACUUAUAAUUUGAAGCUGAUUGAGGAAACUCAUCAAACUUUAGAGAGUACAAACUACUCAACGCUGUACAUAUAACCCUUUGGUCGGCAUUUUAUAUAGACAUUUAAUGUUCAUUUGCAUGUUGAAAAAAUGUAAAAUAAAAUGCCACGCUCAACAAAAUGGACAAAUCUAACUAAAGCAAAAAUAGUUAUCUUCUUUUUUACAAUGGCAGCACUUUUUUUUUGCUUGUCCUGGGAUUUUCAACACUAUUUUGAAUGUUGAUAUCACUGUAUCAUCUAUCAUAGCUGGCGAAAUAUUUUUCAUAUAUCAGGAAAAGCAAUAGAAAUGAAAAACUCGAUACGAUAAUUAACAAGACAAGCAGAAUUAUAAGUGAGUCUAACAUAAUAAGAGAUAUACUUUUGUAGUUUAAUUUGUAUCAAUUAUAUAUGUUUUUUUUAUUAAUACAUUAGACAUUAUGUUAUAUUUUUUUCCAGAUGUCAGCCGCGAGAUCGGAUUUCUAUUUUUUUUCCUCUUUUUUCAUGAUUAUCAAAAUUGUGAAGAAUGAAUAAACUAGGAAGUUCAAAACUGUAGGAUUUAACCUAGCUUUGGAUUAUCUUACAUCGUUUCACACUCCAAGAAGUACCAUA